rnacentral:snRNA from 1 species
GUCCUUAUCUUUACUACGGUGGGACAUAUACUAAAAUUGGAACGAUACAGAGAAGAUUAGCAUUGCCCCU